AUUGAACGCUGGCGGCAUGCCUUACACAUGCAAGUCGAACGGCAGCACGGGAGCAAUCCUGGUGGCGAGUGGCGAACGGGUGAGUAAUACAUCGGAACGUGCCCAGUAGUGGGGGAUAACCCGGCGAAAGUCGGACUAAUACCGCAUACGACCUAUGGGUGAAAGCGGGGGAUCGCAAGACCUCGCGCUAUUGGAGCGGCCGAUGGCAGAUUAGGUAGUUGGUGAGGUAAAGGCUCACCAAGCCUUCGAUCUGUAGCUGGUCUGAGAGGACGACCAGCCACACCGGGACUGAGACACGGCCCAGACUCCUACGGGAGGCAGCAGUGGGGAAUUUUGGACAAUGGGCGCAAGCCUGAUCCAGCAAUGCCGCGUGCGGGAAGAAGGCCUCGGUUGUAACGCUUUGUCAGGGAAGAAACGACUCUGGGCGUAAUACCCUGGAGUAAUGACGGUACCUGAAGAAUAAGACACCGGCUAACUACGUGCCAGCAGCCGCGGUAA
rnacentral:rRNA from 1 species